rnacentral:rRNA from 1 species
GACGAACGCUGGCGGCGUGCUUAACACAUGCAAGUCGAACGGAAAGGCCCUGCUUUUGUGGGGUGCUCGAGUGGCGAACGGGUGAGUAACACGUGAGUAACCUGCCCUUGACUUUGGGAUAACUUCAGGAAACUGGGGCUAAUACCGGAUAGGAGCUCCUGCUGCAUGGUGGGGGUUGGAAAGUUUCGGCGGUUUGGGAUGGACUCGCGGCUUAUCAGCUUGUUGGUGGGGUAGUGGCUUACCAAGGCUUUGACGGGUAGCCGGCCUGAGAGGGUGACCGGCCACAUUGGGACUGAGAUACGGCCCAGACUCCUACGGGAGGCAGCAGUGGGAAAUAUUGCACAAUGGGCGGAAGCCUGAUGCAGCAACGCCGCGUGCGGGAUGACGGCCUUCGGGUUGUAAACCGCUUUCGCCUGUGACGAAGCGUGAGUGACGGUAAUGGGUAAAGAAGCACCGGCUAACUACGUG